AUUGAACGCUGGCGGCAGGCCUAACACAUGCAAGUCGAGCGGAUGAAGGUGGCUUGCUACCUGAUUCAGCGGCGGACGGGUGAGUAAUGCCUAGGAAUCUGCCUGGUAGUGGGGGACAACGUUUCGAAAGGAACGCUAAUACCGCAUACGUCCUACGGGAGAAAGUGGGGGAUCUUCGGACCUCACGCUAUCAGAUGAGCCUAGGUAUGAUUAGCUAGUUGGUGAGGUAAAGGCUCACCAAGGCGACGAUCGUUAACUGGUCUGAGAGGAUGAUCAGUCACACUGGAACUGAGAAACGGUCCAGACUCCUACGGGAGGCAGCAGUGGGGAAUAUUGGACAAUGGGCGAAAGCCUGAUCCAGCCAUGCCGCGUGUGUGAAGAAGGUCUUCGGAUUGUAAAGCACUUUAAGUUGGGAGGAAGGGCAGUAAGUUAAUACCUUGCUGUUUUGACGUUACCGACAGAAUAAGCACCGGCUAACUUCGUGCCAGCAGCCGCCGUAACAC
rnacentral:rRNA from 1 species